GACGAACGCUGGCGGCGUGCCUAAUACAUGCAAGUCGAACGCAGUGGGGCCGGGUGAGUAACACGUGGGUAACCUCCCAUCAGAGGGGAUAAAAAUUGGAAACAGGUGCUAAACCGAUGAUGAUGGAUGGAGCAGCGGUGCCUUAGCUAGUUGUGGAGGUAACGGCUCACCAAGGCCACUAUGCAUAACCGACCUGAGAGGAUGAUCGGCCACACUGGGACUGAGACACGGCCCAGACUCCGACGGGAGGCAGCAGUAGGGAAUCUGCGGCAAUGGACGAAAGUCUGACCGAGCAACGCCGCGUGAGUGAAGAAGGUUUUCGGAUCGUAAAACUCUGUUGUUAGAGAAGCGGUAUCUAACCAGUAAGCCACGGCUAACUACGUGCCAGCAGCCGCGGUAAUUC
rnacentral:rRNA from 1 species